rnacentral:rRNA from 1 species
UACGGAAGGCAGCAGUGGGGAAUAUUGCACAAUGGGCGCAAGCCUGAUGCAGCCAUGCCGCGUGUAUGAAGAAGGCCUUCGGGUUGUAAAGUACUUUCAGUCGUGAGGAAGGUGUUAAGGUUAAUAACCUUAGCAAUUGACGUUAGCGACAGAAGAAGCACCGGCUAACUCCGUGCCAGCAGCCGCGGUAAUACGGAGGGUGCGAGCGUUAAUCGGAAUUACUGGGCGUAAAGGGCACGCAGGCGGUUAAUUAAGUUGGAUGUGAAAUCCCCGGGCUUAACCUGGGAAUGGCAUUCAAGACUGGUUAGCUAGAGUCUUGUAGAGGGGGUAGAAUUCCAUGUGUAGCGGUGAAAUGCGUAGAGAUGUGGAGGAUACCGGGUGGCGAAGGCGGCCCCUGGGACAAAGACUGACGCUCAUGUGCGAAAGCGUGGGGAGCAAACAGGGAUUAGAUACC